GGACAGACAGAACAGCAGGUUCCAGGCUCAGUGAGAACAGGCUUACAAAAUAAAGCAGAGAGACUGGAGAGGUGGCUCAGCGGUUAAGAGCACUGACUGCUUUUCCAAAGGUCCUGAGUUCAAUUCCCAGCACCCACAUGGUGGCUCACAACCAUCUGUAAUGGGAUCUCAUGCCCUCUUCUGGUGUGUCUGGAGACAGUGUACUCAUAUGCAUAAAAUAAAUAAAUAAGUCAAGAAAAAAAGCAGGAAGUAAUAAAGAGAUAGAUACCUAGUGUUGACAUCUGGACUCCAUAUGAGUGUGCCCUGCAAGCCUAAGUGCAUACCCAGCACACACACACACACACACACACACACACACACGGCUCCUGACUGAAGGAAAGCGCUGUGGGUAGGCACCCUUGUGGUACUUGUGUGUGAUUAUUGCUCUAAGAGUUAGGGAAUUGGCAUAAGAACAAGUGAAGUCUGUAGUGCUGUGAAGUGGUGAUUGCUCUGAAAAGGACAAAUUUCCAUCCAUGAAAUCAUUUUAGAGUCACGGCAGAGCAUUAUUGUCAAAAAUUAAAAGCUAGGGAGAAAGCUGUCUGGCUAGAAAUCCAGCAGAAUUUCAAUGACUGUUUUUUAGAUUGUUAUGGCUUUCAACUCUCAAGGCAUGCUUGGGCAUGAUAAUGCUUUCUCCUCCAAAAAGCCUUUUGCUUGUUUGAGUCUGGCCACGCCUUCACAGAGGGAAGGUGGCUGGCUGAGCAGGACCAUGGGGACAUAAGUGGGUGUCACAAUGUGUACAGCUCUGGUGACAGUACUGAAGGUGUGUGUCCUGUAGCUCUGGCUGAGGGUGCAGUCUUGUCUAAUGAGGUGACAAUAACGGAGUUGAUAGCAUGUGGCAGUCCGCCUUCUAGCUUGCAAGAGUUGUUCCUAGCUCAGCUAUUAUUUGGACAGCUAUUGUUUGUGCAUAUGUAGACACCCUGUUGCCUGAGGACAUCUGAUCUGCUCUCACUUUUGAAUCCCAUCCCCAUGUGCUUCUCCCCUCCCCACUGGCCUCCCCAUCCCCCAUGCCCUUUUUCUCCACUUGUUACUUUGACACAGCCAACAGUCAGGGCUUGGAUGCCCAACCUCGAUAAAGCCCCAGAGUUGCUUAGGUCUUCCUGUGAGACAAGAUGUAGGGCUUUGCUUCUGCUGACCCGUACUUCCUCCCUGUGAACCUUCUCCUGGCCGUUGAGUACUGUUAUGAGCACUGUCUGCGGGAAGGUGACCAGACAGGAAAUAGAAAGGAGAGUGGUCGCAAAGCUUAAUGAGCACUGGUUCUUCCCAUGGCAGCUCUUUGCAGAAACAUCCCUGGGUCAGCUCUGAGACAGCAGCUACCCUCAGAGCUGCAUUACAGGCUUAGGGGCCGAGGAGGCUCUCAGCCAAGCAGCCGCCAGACAGUUUACUGUGGUAAAACAGUAAUAGCCAUGCCUCGAGGUAGGAUUUUCUGGGGAAGAAACUUGGCAACAGAUCGAGCUGCCAUCGGCCCGUCUCAGAUGCCAGCUCUCGAAUGGUACCAUGUGCGGCCUGCAUGGAGGUCAGGCACAAGCUUUCCAGCCCUGUCAGCACAACCUCCUGGCUCCACCACCUCCGCCCCCUGCUCCGUGUUUUUUUCUUGCUAGUUUUCAAAAUGGAAAGGCUCUGCAGGGAGGGGAAGUCCCUUAGCAUUUUGCAUAUUGAGGUGCUCAGCAGAACUGCCUGGCAUCCUGUUUGUAUAUAUCGGUUUUAAUUCACUCUCUAAUAGGUCAUUUGGUCUUAACAGCAGUCUUAAACUUGAUAAUACUUGCAUCAGCAGCGAGUUGUGGGCCAGCCGUCCAAAAGUGCAACCCCAAGUGAUUACUUGCAGAAGGUUUUAUAGCCUCCCUAGGAGAGGCCACGCUGUAAGCAGACCUUGCACACUCCAGCAGAGACUUGCAGGUGGCUGGGGAGGAAGUCCCUUUCCUCUUAGUGCAAGGAAAGCCAUCCUUGUCAGAAGGGACUCCAGCUCUGUCCGAUGGCGUCAAGGACUUCAGUAUUGUGAGUGGAAGAACCAGAAGUAGGAGUGCCCUGUUGACAGGGUGAGGAGCUGUAGCUGGCCCUGAUGUGCGUGCGCGCGCGCACACACACACACACACACACACACACACACACAGCCUGAGGAGCUGUAGCUAGCCCUGAUGUGCACACACACACACACACACACACACACACAGAGCCUGAGGAGCUGUAGCUGGCCCUGAUGUGCACACACACACACACACAGAGCCUGAGGAGCUGUAGCUAGCCCUGAUGUGCACACACACACACACACACACACACACACACACACACACACACACACAGAGCCUGAGGAGCUGUAGCUGGCCCUGAUGUGCACACACAGCCUUUCACACUUUCCUUAUGGAGGCUGCUGCUGAUAGCACUCAAUCCUCCCACACACUGUCCUUGGCCGUGCUCCUUGGCUCUCAGUGAGAACACCGUGUCCUCUUUUUAUCGGCUAUUAUUGGCUAUUGUUAUUGACUCUCUCACCAUGAUCACUGCAGUCUGAGGUUUCAGACUAAAAGUAGCCUGGCUGCCGGAGUUAGGGCUGAACUUGAAGAUGACUCCAAGAUAGCAAAUCCUUGCCAAAAACAAUGCCUUUUAUUCUGAAGUGGAUGUUGCUAUCCCAGUCUUUAGAAGCAUUGCGGCUCCAUGAGGCCAGAUUGUGGCUGUAAAGAUUUCUAGUGAACCUUCUCUUUUUAUCCUUUCAAGGAAAGUAGAGUUUGUCUGUCUGUCUGUCUUUUUCUGGAAUGGUCCAUUAGAUUGUUGGCAGGGAGUAACUAAUAAUCAGAGUGUUCUGUAGUUUGGCUCUGGAAUGUCCCCCGGAUUCCUGUAUCUUAAAGCCUUGAUCCUCUAGCUGUGGUGGUGCUGUGAGGAUAGAGAGCUUUAGAUAGAGGGCGUGUGGGUCAUUGGGAUGCACCCUUAGAGAGGAUUUUGUGAUUCUGUAUCCUUCAUGGCUCUCUCUCUCUCUCACUUCCUGGAUGCUAUGAAAUCAAACUUCCCUUUGCUACACAAUCACGUGUGGCGUACUGUGCUGCCACCGCUAUGCUGCCACCGCUGUGCUGCCACUGCUCAGCACUGAGGCCACAGAAUGGAGGACUGAAAUCUCCAAAACCACGAGCCACAUAAGCCUUUCAGCCUCUUAAAUUGGUUGGUAUCACAGCAAUGGAAAACUGAGGAACACAGUACUCGGAGUUGUAACUUAGCAUUCUUUCCUGUGGUAAAUAUAGGGUGUCUUCAUAAAAUAUCCUGUCCAAAGGUGGCAAAGUUGUAGCAGAGAGUAGCUCUGGAUACUGGGGGGAAACAUGUCAGCCUUGGCUAUCUGAGAAACUUCUAGGUCCUUUUCAGAGGACUUUCCUCCAUGCUAGGCAUGUCCCUUGGCCUCCAACAUCCAGGGAGUGUCUCUGUCUGUGAGCUCCACCCUCAAGACAUUUGCAUUUUCCCUGUUUUGUGUGUAGGAAUAUGGCUUGCCCUGGUAUAAGCAGGCACAGCCUCUGUGGGUAUUUUUAAACAGAUGGAGGCUUUUGCUCCUGGACAUGCCUGCUUCCCACCUUGUCUUUCCGUUCCUCCAGUGCUUGCUCUCAUAGAAGAAUCCUUGUGGGGGCUGGAGAGAUGGCUCAGUGGGUAAGAGCAUUGACUGCUCUUCCAAAGGUCCUGAGUUCAAAUCCUAGCAACCACAUAGUGGCUUACAACCACCCAUAAGGAGACCUGACGCCCUCUUCUGGCACGCCUGAAGACAGCUACAGUGUAUUUAAUGUAUAAUAAUAAAUAAAUUCUUU
rnacentral:lncRNA from 1 species